GGUUAAGCGACUAAGCGUACACGGUGGAUGCCCUGGCAGUCAGAGGCGAUGAAGGACGUGCUAAUCUGCGAUAAGCGUCGGUAAGGUGAUAUGAACCGUUAUAACCGGCGAUUUCCGAAUGGGGAAACCCAGUGUGUUUCGACACACUAUCAUUAACUGAAUCCAUAGGUUAAUGAGGCGAACCGGGGGAACUGAAACAUCUAAGUACCCCGAGGAAAAGAAAUCAACCGAGAUUCCCCCAGUAGCGGCGAGCGAACGGGGAGCAGCCCAGAGCCUGAAUCAGUGUGUGUGUUAGUGGAAGCGUCUGGAAAGGCGCGCGAUACAGGGUGACAGCCCCGUACACAAAAAUGCACAUGCUGUGAGCUCGAUGAGUAGGGCGGGACACGUGGUAUCCUGUCUGAAUAUGGGGGGACCAUCCUCCAAGGCUAAAUACUCCUGACUGACCGAUAGUGAACCAGUACCGUGAGGGAAAGGCGAAAAGAACCCCGGCGAGGGGAGUGAAAAAGAACCUGAAACCGUGUACGUACAAGCAGUGGGAGCACGCUUAGGCGUGUGACUGCGUACCUUUUGUAUAAUGGGUCAGCGACUUAUAUUCUGUAGCAAGGUUAACCGAAUAGGGGAGCCGAAGGGAAACCGAGUCUUAACUGGGCGUUAAGUUGCAGGGUAUAGACCCGAAACCCGGUGAUCUAGCCAUGGGCAGGUUGAAGGUUGGGUAACACUAACUGGAGGACCGAACCGACUAAUGUUGAAAAAUUAGCGGAUGACUUGUGGCUGGGGGUGAAAGGCCAAUCAAACCGGGAGAUAGCUGGUUCUCCCCGAAAGCUAUUUAGGUAGCGCCUCGUGAAUUCAUCUCCGGGGGUAGAGCACUGUUUCGGCAAGGGGGUCAUCCCGACUUACCAACCCGAUGCAAACUGCGAAUACCGGAGAAUGUUAUCACGGGAGACACACGGCGGGUGCUAACGUCCGUCGUGAAGAGGGAAACAACCCAGACCGCCAGCUAAGGUCCCAAAGUCAUGGUUAAGUGGGAAACGAUGUGGGAAGGCCCAGACAGCCAGGAUGUUGGCUUAGAAGCAGCCAUCAUUUAAAGAAAGCGUAAUAGCUCACUGGUCGAGUCGGCCUGCGCGGAAGAUGUAACGGGGCUAAACCAUGCACCGAAGCUGCGGCAGCGACGCUUAUGCGUUGUUGGGUAGGGGAGCGUUCUGUAAGCCUGCGAAGGUGUGCUGUGAGGCAUGCUGGAGGUAUCAGAAGUGCGAAUGCUGACAUAAGUAACGAUAAAGCGGGUGAAAAGCCCGCUCGCCGGAAGACCAAGGGUUCCUGUCCAACGUUAAUCGGGGCAGGGUGAGUCGACCCCUAAGGCGAGGCCGAAAGGCGUAGUCGAUGGGAAACAGGUUAAUAUUCCUGUACUUGGUGUUACUGCGAAGGGGGGACGGAGAAGGCUAUGUUGGCCGGGCGACGGUUGUCCCGGUUUAAGCGUGUAGGCUGGUUUUCCAGGCAAAUCCGGAAAAUCAAGGCUGAGGCGUGAUGACGAGGCACUACGGUGCUGAAGCAACAAAUGCCCUGCUUCCAGGAAAAGCCUCUAAGCAUCAGGUAACAUCAAAUCGUACCCCAAACCGACACAGGUGGUCAGGUAGAGAAUACCAAGGCGCUUGAGAGAACUCGGGUGAAGGAACUAGGCAAAAUGGUGCCGUAACUUCGGGAGAAGGCACGCUGAUAUGUAGGUGAAGUCCCUCGCGGAUGGAGCUGAAAUCAGUCGAAGAUACCAGCUGGCUGCAACUGUUUAUUAAAAACACAGCACUGUGCAAACACGAAAGUGGACGUAUACGGUGUGACGCCUGCCCGGUGCCGGAAGGUUAAUUGAUGGGGUUAGCCGCAAGGCGAAGCUCUUGAUCGAAGCCCCGGUAAACGGCGGCCGUAACUAUAACGGUCCUAAGGUAGCGAAAUUCCUUGUCGGGUAAGUUCCGACCUGCACGAAUGGCGUAAUGAUGGCCAGGCUGUCUCCACCCGAGACUCAGUGAAAUUGAACUCGCUGUGAAGAUGCAGUGUACCCGCGGCAAGACGGAAAGACCCCGUGAACCUUUACUAUAGCUUGACACUGAACAUUGAGCCUUGAUGUGUAGGAUAGGUGGGAGGCUUAGAAGUGUGGACGCCAGUCUGCAUGGAGCCGACCUUGAAAUACCACCCUUUAAUGUUUGAUGUUCUAACGUUGACCCGUAAUCCGGGUUGCGGACAGUGUCUGGUGGGUAGUUUGACUGGGGCGGUCUCCUCCUAAAGAGUAACGGAGGAGCACGAAGGUUGGCUAAUCCUGGUCGGACAUCAGGAGGUUAGUGCAAUGGCAUAAGCCAGCUUGACUGCGAGCGUGACGGCGCGAGCAGGUGCGAAAGCAGGUCAUAGUGAUCCGGUGGUUCUGAAUGGAAGGGCCAUCGCUCAACGGAUAAAAGGUACUCCGGGGAUAACAGGCUGAUACCGCCCAAGAGUUCAUAUCGACGGCGGUGUUUGGCACCUCGAUGUCGGCUCAUCACAUCCUGGGGCUGAAGUAGGUCCCAAGGGUAUGGCUGUUCGCCAUUUAAAGUGGUACGCGAGCUGGGUUUAGAACGUCGUGAGACAGUUCGGUCCCUAUCUGCCGUGGGCGCUGGAGAACUGAGGGGGGCUGCUCCUAGUACGAGAGGACCGGAGUGGACGCAUCACUGGUGUUCGGGUUGUCAUGCCAAUGGCACUGCCCGGUAGCUAAAUGCGGAAGAGAUAAGUGCUGAAAGCAUCUAAGCACGAAACUUGCCCCGAGAUGAGUUCUCCCUGACUCCUUGAGAGUCCUGAAGGAACGUUGAAGACGACGACGUUGAUAGGCCGGGUGUGUAAGCGCAGCGAUGCGUUGAGCUAACCGGUACUAAUGAACCGUGAGGCUUAACCUU
rnacentral:rRNA from 1 species